GAGGCAGCAGUGGGGAAUCUUAGACAAUGGGCGCAAGCCUGAUCUAGCCAUGCCGCGUGAGUGAUGAAGGCCUUAGGGUCGUAAAGCUCUUUCGCCUGUGAUGAUAAUGACAGUAGCAGGUAAAGAAACCCCGGCUAACUCCGUGCCAGCAGCCGCGGUAAUACGGAGGGGGUUAGCGUUGUUCGGAAUUACUGGGCGUAAAGCGCACGUAGGCGGAUUGGAAAGUUGGGGGUGAAAUCCCGGGGCUCAACCCCGGAACUGCCUCCAAWACUAUCAGUCUAGAGUUCGAGAGAGGUGAGUGGAAUUCCAAGUGUAGAGGUGAAAUUCGUAGAUAUUUGGAGGAACACCAGUGGCGAAGGCGGCUCACUGGCUCGAUACUGACGCUGAGGUGCGAAAGUGUGGGGAGCAAACAGGAUUAGAUACCCUGGUAGUCCACACCGUAAACGAUGAAUGCUAGUCGUCGGGCAGUAUACUGUUCGGUGUCACACCUAACGGAUUAAGCAUUCCGCCUGGGGUGUACGGUCGCAAGAUUA
rnacentral:rRNA from 1 species